GUAAAUUAAGGUGGGAUAUAUAAGAGAUGGAUGAUUGAAUAUGCAUAUGGUAAAGAAUAGAUUGGCUGAUCAUUUUUAUCACACAAGAAGAAAGGAGAGAAAACUCUAGAUUCAAUUGAUAUAGAUUAAGAGAUACAAGCAAGGUAUAAUAAGAUUGGUGACCUUAAUUUAAGGGUCAAUCAACAUCAUUUUUUUAUAAACAAAGUUAUUUUAUUGAAAAUAUUAAAAAUAUAGUUAGGAAAAAACUUAACAUGAACAUACCCUCCUAAAUUCCAGCGCACAAGCUUAUCCACAAGUGCCAAUCUAACCAUGUCAUGCUAAGGGAAAAAAUCUGACAACGAUACAACAAAAGAAAGUAAAUCAACAUAUCUUAGCCCCAACUAAAGCUAAUCAUACAUUUACACCAACAAUUUUAGUGAAGGAGAGUAGAAGAAGUUGUGAUGUUGGGGUCGACCCAUGAACCGAAAUUAGGAAAUAUGAAAGAAUAUAUACCAAUUAAUCUCAUAGAUUCUAUUGUGGAUCAAAUCUCAUAUUUUGUCACUUGAAAUUUGUAUAUUUAAUUGAAUAAAUAUUUAUAAAUAGAAUAUUUCCUCCUAGCAUUCUGCUCCAUACAAAUUGGUAGAUAUUUCUGCAACCCAACCGUGAAUAAGCUUGCAUAUUGGACCUAAAAAGUAAAGCAACCCAACAUCAUAUAUGUAUCUAUCCUACCAUCUCCAAAGUUGCAAGUUAAGCAAGCUACCUCCAACUUAUAUAUAUAUAUAUACACACCCCCACCAAACUAAACACUAGCACAUGAAUUUUCUUUAUUAAUUUUUUUAGUAAUUAUUCCAUUGAUUCUCCAUAAAUGGCUGAAUUUCUUCCUACCAAGACUACUAAAAGCCCUUUUCU
rnacentral:misc_RNA from 1 species